rnacentral:rRNA from 1 species
AAUGGGGGAAACCCUGACGCAGCAACGCCGCGUGUGGGAAGAAGGCCUUCGGGUCGUAAACCACUUUUGCACGGGACGAAAAGGGAUAUCGAACAAAUAUCCCCGAUGACGGUACCGUGAGAAUAAGCCACGGCUAACUCUGUGCCAGCAGCCGCGGUAAGACAGAGGUGGCAAGCGUUGUUCGGAAUUACUGGGCGUAAAGAGUCUGUAGGUGGUUUGUCAAGUCUUUGGUGAAAGGCCGUAGCUUAACUAUGGGAAUGCCAAAGNGACUGGCAGGCUGGAGGCUGGGAGAGGGAAGCGGAAUUUCUGGUGUAGCGGUGAAAUGCGUAGAUAUCAGAAGGAAGGCCGGUGGCGAAGGCGGCUUCCUGGAACAGUCCU